rnacentral:tRNA from 1 species
GCCGGAGUGGUGAAAUGGCAGACACGCCAGGUUUAGGACCUGGUGGGAGCAAUCCCGUGGAGGUUCAAGUCCUCUCUCCGGCACCA